rnacentral:pre_miRNA from 10 species
AGGUAGGGUAAUCUGUCUUUAAGUAGGGAGAAAUUGCUCUAAAAAAAAAAAAAAGAAUCCUAGAUAGUUUUCCCUUCAAGUCAAGCAUCUUGU